rnacentral:rRNA from 1 species
UUCUUUAAUAUUAUUUUUAAAGUAAUACCUGCCCACUGUGAGAAUGAAGGGCCGCGGUAUAUUGACUGUGCUAAGGUAGCGUAAUCAUUAGCCCUUUAAUUAAGGGAUAGAAUGAAGGGUUUAACCGUGAAAUAUUUUCUUUGCUUUUAAAGUAUCAAAUUUAAGAUUAGAAUUAAAAUGUUCUAAAGUUUUUAAAAGACGAUAAGACCCUAUAGAAUUUUAUUGUAUCUGUUUUAGUAAACUUUGGGGGAAGAUUACUAAAACAGGCACAAAUUAGUUGGGGCAACUUAAGAAUAUAAAUAAUUUCUUUCAAUCUAUAUAAAUAUUUUAAUUAAAAUCUUAACUUUUAAAAAUUAAUUAAUUACCUUAGGGAUAACAGCGUUAUCAUUUUUGAGAGCCCGAAUCGACAAAGUUUAUUGCGACCUCGAUGUUGAAUUAAGAAUUCUUAAGGGGGCAGCGUUUCAUUAGAGAUAGUCUGUUCGACUAUAAAAUUCUU